UACAGAGGGUGCGAGCGUUGUUCGGAAUUACUGGGCGUAAAGGGCUCGUAGGCGGCCAACUAAGUCAGACGUGAAAUCCCUCGGCUUAACCGGGGAACUGCGUCUGAUACUGGAUGGCUUGAGUUCGGGAGAGGGAUGCGGAAUUCCAGGUGUAGCGGUGAAAUGCGUAGAUAUCUGGAGGAACACCGGUGGCGAAGGCGGCUCGCUGGGCCGGACCUGACGCUGAGACGCGAAGGCGUGGGGAGCGAACGGGG
rnacentral:rRNA from 1 species